CAUCCCUCCAUCCUCCAGCUGGGCACAGAGGUUGCCAAAAGGGCCAGUAGGAGGAGAAGGCUUCAUGGAGGACGGGGGCAAGAGCGGGCCGACCAUGCUGGCUUCCUCGCCUUGUGUCUGGCUGACUGCACAGGCCUGAGGAGGCUGUGUGUAAGUUGGCAAAUGACAGGAAGAGCAUGUGCUUCUAAUCACCCACCCAUCUUAAUAACGUCGAACAGAUACAGUGCAGAAACUAUUGCACAACCACCAGCAUUUCAUUACAUCAGAAUCCUUGCCAAUUUGAAAGAGGUCCUUGAAUCCAGGGAGAGUUACAUCUUUACGUUUUUGAUCACGAUCCUCUUGGAAGAUACUUAUUAGGGCCAUUUGUUGAUGACAAUAUUAAGAAUUAGCAAAUAUCUUCUUAAAUAUAACAAAAAUUGAAUUGUUUCAUUAGAGAACUAUAAAGUCUGUUAUUUAAGAGGAAACUGUUGUGCUGUUCAAAAGCAGGAAAGAAUUGUUGAAGGACUCUUCCUGGUCUCCUUUCUAGAACUGAGGCAACUCAGCUAUUGUAGUCAAAAGAAUUUUUAAAAAAUUAGUAAAGAGAAAAGCAGAAUCUUCGUACA
rnacentral:lncRNA from 1 species